AUGCACAUUGUUCCUGAACUGGAAUUGUUUCAUCUAUGCAGGAAUAAGAUCAAGAUACUGGAUGCCGGUGCCCUUGAGCCGCUGCUUGGUUACUUGCAGUCAAGCGAUCUGAACUUACAGGAGUAUGCGGCUGCUGCAAUCCUCACUCUCUCAGCCUCAUCCACAAAUAAGCCCAUCAUAAGCGUAUCCGGGGCAAUCCCUCUCCUUGUAAAGGUUCUGGAAGAAGGGAAUCCGCAGGCCAAGAAUGAUGCUGUCAUGGCCCUCUACAACCUCUCCACCAUUGCAGAUAACCUCCAAACCAUCCUCUCUGUCCAGCCCAUCCCCCCUUUGUUAGAGUUGCUGAGAGCUGGCAAGAGGUCCUCCAAGACAGCAGACAAGUGCUGCGCCCUUCUGGAAUCGCUGCUCGCCUUUGAUCAAGGCCGAGUGGCCCUAACUUCCGAGGAAGGCGGGGUGCUCACCAUCGUGGAGGUGCUCGAGGAAGGCUCCCUCCAAGGCCGAGAGCAUGCUGUUGGAGCGCUCCUCACGAUGUGCGAGAGUGACCGCAGUAAAUACAGAGAUCUCAUUCUGAACGAAGGCGCGAUCCCCGGUCUUCUGGAGCUCACCGCUCAUGGCACUCCCAAGUCCAGAGUGAAGGCGCACGCUCUGCUCGACCUGCUGCGCAACUCGCCCUACUCGAGGUCGAAGCUGCAGCCCAACACCCUGGAGAACAUCGUCAGCAACAUUGCUUCUCAGAUCGAUGGGGAGGACCGUGGUGGGAAGGCCAAGAAGAUGCUCGCCGAGAUGGUGAAGGUCAGCAUGGAGCAGAGCUUGAGGCACCUGCAGCGCCGGGCUUCCUUCGCUUGA
rnacentral:rRNA from 1 species